UACGGGGGGGGCAAGCGUUGUUCGGAAUUACUGGGCGUAAAGGGCCAGUAGGCGGCCAACUAAGUCGGAUGUGAAAUCCCCAGGCUUAACCUGGGAACUGCAUCCGAUACUGGAUGGCUUGAAUUCGGGAGAGGGAUGCAGAAUUCCAGGUGUAGCGGUGAAAUGCGUAGAUAUCUGGAGGAACACCGGUGGCGAAGGCGGCAUCCUGGACCGAGAUUGACGCUGAUGCGCGAAAGCCAGGGGAGCAAACGGG
rnacentral:rRNA from 1 species